GACUCAGAUGGUAAAGAAUCUGCCUGCAAUGCAGAAGACCCAGGUUCAAUCCCUGGGUCG
rnacentral:tRNA from 1 species